rnacentral:rRNA from 1 species
CCCUUAGAUGUUCUGGGCCGCACGCGCGCUACACUGAUACGUUCAACGAGCUCCUUGACCGAGAGGCCCGGGUAAUCUUUGAAACCGUAUCGUGAUGGGGAUAGAACAUUGCAAUUAUUGUUCUUCAACGAGGAACGCCUAGUAAGCGCGAGUCAUCAUCUCGCGUUGAUUACGUCCCUGCCCUUUGUACACACCGCCCGUCGUUCCUACCGAUUGAACGUGCUGGUGAAGCGUUAGGACUGGAGGUCUUGGGCCGGUUCGCCUGCCCAUAGCUUCGGGAAUUUCGUUGAACCCUCCCGUUUAGAGGAAGGAGAAGUCGUAACA